rnacentral:rRNA from 1 species
UGGCGGCGUGCUUUACACAUGCAAGUCGAGCGAUGAGAUCCCUUCGGGGAAGGAUUAGCGGCGAACGGGUGAGGAACACGUGAGGAAUCUGCCUUCAACACUGGGAUAACUCCGGGAAACCGGGGCUAAUACCGGAUACGAGACCUGCAGGCAUCUGCGGGUCUGGAAAGUUUUUCGGUUGAAGAUGACCUCGCGGCCUAUCAGCUUGUUGGUGAGGUAAUGGCUCACCAAGGCGACGACGGGUAGCCGGCCUGAGAGGGCGACCGGCCACACUGGGACUGAGACACGGCCCAGACUCCUACGGGAGGCAGCAGUGGGGAAUAUUGGGCAAUGGAGGGAACUCUGACCCAGCGACGCCGCGUGCGGGAUGAAGGCCUUCGGGUUGUAAACCGCUUUCAGCAAGGAAGAAGCGAAAGUGACGGUACUUGCAGAAGAAGCACCGGCUAACUAUGUGCCAGCAGCCGCGGUAAUACAUAGGGUGCAAGCGUUGUCCGGAAUUAUUGGGCGUAAAGAGCUCGUAGGUGGUUCGUCACGUCGGAUGUGAAAAUCUGGGGCUUAACCCCAGACCUGCAUUCGAUACGGGCGAGCUAGAGUGUGGUAGGGGAGACUGGAAUUCCUGGUGUAGCGGUGGAAUGCGCAGAUAUCAGGAGGAACACCAAUGGCGAAGGCAGGUCUCUGGGCCAUUACUGACACUGAGGAGCGAAAGCGUGGGGAGCGAACAGGAUUAGAUACCCUGGUAGUCCACGCCGUAAACGGUGGGCACUAGUUGUGGGAACCUUCCACGGUUUCUGCGACGCAGCUAACGCAUUAAGUGCCCCGCCUGGGGAGUACGAUCGCAAGAUUA